UGCUCUUCGGCUGUGGAACAGCAAUUUGUCUUCUGAAAAAGUCAGACAAUGAGAGAUGGUUACAGGAGGAGAUGUGGUGGGACAGCUGUGCUGUUCUUGCAUCUGGGGCCCACAUCGCAGUUUCCAGUGAACCUACAGAGUGCAAAAGUGCUGCGUUACAGCUUGGUACCCACUGGCAUGCUCUUAACCUUGGAGCAGCUGGAGCUGUGCCCAGGGGCAUCUGCCAGGACACAGGUCUGGCCCCACGUGUGUGCAACAGGCAAAUUCCAG
ensembl:lncRNA